ACUUGGAGAGUGGUUGGCUAUGGGUGGAAAAGUAUGGAAGAGGUUUUUUGCGAGGGUGGGGAGGAUCGUCAGGGAACUUCCCCCAUACAGACCCUGGCUGACCCCUAGCCUCUCCCAUUGAGUCAGGCACAUUUGCCCCUGUCCCCAUGUAUCCCUGCACUACCAUGUAUCCUUGCACCCCCUGUCUUCAUGUCCCCAAAUCCACUUAGACAC